AGCGUACACGGUGGAUGCCCUGGCAGUCAGAGGCGAUGAAGGACGUGCUAAUCUGCGAUAAGCGUCGGUAAGGUGAUAUGAACCGUUAUAACCGGCGAUUUCCGAAUGGGGAAACCCAGUGUGUUUCGACACACUAUCAUUAACUGAAUCCAUAGGUUAAUGAGGCGAACCGGGGGAACUGAAACAUCUAAGUACCCCGAGGAAAAGAAAUCAACCGAGAUUCCCCCAGUAGCGGCGAGCGAACGGGGAGGAGCCCAGAGCCUGAAUCAGUGUGUGUGUUAGUGGAAGCGUCUGGAAAGGCGCGCGAUACAGGGUGACAGCCCCGUACACAAAAAUGCACAUGCUGUGAGCUCGAUGAGUAGGGCGGGACACGUGGUAUCCUGUCUGAAUAUGGGGGGACCAUCCUCCAAGGCUAAAUACUCCUGACUGACCGAUAGUGAACCAGUACCGUGAGGGAAAGGCGAAAAGAACCCCGGCGAGGGGAGUGAAAAAGAACCUGAAACCGUGUACGUACAAGCAGUGGGAGCCUCUUAAUGGGGUGACUGCGUACCUUUUGUAUAAUGGGUCAGCGACUUAUAUUCUGUAGCAAGGUUAACCGAAUAGGGGAGCCGAAGGGAAACCGAGUCUUAACUGGGCGUUAAGUUGCAGGGUAUAGACCCGAAACCCGGUGAUCUAGCCAUGGGCAGGUUGAAGGUUGGGUAACACUAACUGGAGGACCGAACCGACUAAUGUUGAAAAAUUAGCGGAUGACUUGUGGCUGGGGGUGAAAGGCCAAUCAAACCGGGAGAUAGCUGGUUCUCCCCGAAAGCUAUUUAGGUAGCGCCUCGUGAAUUCAUCUCCGGGGGUAGAGCACUGUUUCGGCAAGGGGGUCAUCCCGACUUACCAACCCGAUGCAAACUGCGAAUACCGGAGAAUGUUAUCACGGGAGACACACGGCGGGUGCUAACGUCCGUCGUGAAGAGGGAAACAACCCAGACCGCCAGCUAAGGUCCCAAAGUCAUGGUUAAGUGGGAAACGAUGUGGGAAGGCCCAGACAGCCAGGAUGUUGGCUUAGAAGCAGCCAUCAUUUAAAGAAAGCGUAAUAGCUCACUGGUCGAGUCGGCCUGCGCGGAAGAUGUAACGGGGCUAAACCAUGCACCGAAGCUGCGGCAGCGACACUAUGUGUUGUUGGGUAGGGGAGCGUUCUGUAAGCCUGUGAAGGUGGCCUGUGAGGGUUGCUGGAGGUAUCAGAAGUGCGAAUGCUGACAUAAGUAACGAUAAAGCGGGUGAAAAGCCCGCUCGCCGGAAGACCAAGGGUUCCUGUCCAACGUUAAUCGGGGCAGGGUGAGUCGACCCCUAAGGCGAGGCCGAAAGGCGUAGUCGAUGGGAAACAGGUUAAUAUUCCUGUACUUGGUGUUACUGCGAAGGGGGGACGGAGAAGGCUAUGUUGGCCGGGCGACGGUUGUCCCGGUUUAAGCGUGUAGGCUGGUUUUCCAGGCAAAUCCGGAAAAUCAAGGCUGAGGCGUGAUGACGAGGCACUACGGUGCUGAAGCAACAAAUGCCCUGCUUCCAGGAAAAGCCUCUAAGCAUCAGGUAACAUCAAAUCGUACCCCAAACCGACACAGGUGGUCAGGUAGAGAAUACCAAGGCGCUUGAGAGAACUCGGGUGAAGGAACUAGGCAAAAUGGUGCCGUAACUUCGGGAGAAGGCACGCUGAUAUGUAGGUGAAGCGACUUGCUCGUGGAGCUGAAAUCAGUCGAAGAUACCAGCUGGCUGCAACUGUUUAUUAAAAACACAGCACUGUGCAAACACGAAAGUGGACGUAUACGGUGUGACGCCUGCCCGGUGCCGGAAGGUUAAUUGAUGGGGUUAGCGGUAACGCGAAGCUCUUGAUCGAAGCCCCGGUAAACGGCGGCCGUAACUAUAACGGUCCUAAGGUAGCGAAAUUCCUUGUCGGGUAAGUUCCGACCUGCACGAAUGGCGUAAUGAUGGCCAGGCUGUCUCCACCCGAGACUCAGUGAAAUUGAACUCGCUGUGAAGAUGCAGUGUACCCGCGGCAAGACGGAAAGACCCCGUGAACCUUUACUAUAGCUUGACACUGAACAUUGAGCCUUGAUGUGUAGGAUAGGUGGGAGGCUUUGAAGUGUGGACGCCAGUCUGCAUGGAGCCGACCUUGAAAUACCACCCUUUAAUGUUUGAUGUUCUAACGUUGGCCCGUAAUCCGGGUUGCGGACAGUGUCUGGUGGGUAGUUUGACUGGGGCGGUCUCCUCCUAAAGAGUAACGGAGGAGCACGAAGGUUGGCUAAUCCUGGUCGGACAUCAGGAGGUUAGUGCAAUGGCAUAAGCCAGCUUGACUGCGAGCGUGACGGCGCGAGCAGGUGCGAAAGCAGGUCAUAGUGAUCCGGUGGUUCUGAAUGGAAGGGCCAUCGCUCAACGGAUAAAAGGUACUCCGGGGAUAACAGGCUGAUACCGCCCAAGAGUUCAUAUCGACGGCGGUGUUUGGCACCUCGAUGUCGGCUCAUCACAUCCUGGGGCUGAAGUAGGUCCCAAGGGUAUGGCUGUUCGCCAUUUAAAGUGGUACGCGAGCUGGGUUUAGAACGUCGUGAGACAGUUCGGUCCCUAUCUGCCGUGGGCGCUGGAGAACUGAGGGGGGCUGCUCCUAGUACGAGAGGACCGGAGUGGACGCAUCACUGGUGUUCGGGUUGUCAUGCCAAUGGCACUGCCCGGUAGCUAAAUGCGGAAGAGAUAAGUGCUGAAAGCAUCUAAGCACGAAACUUGCCCCGAGAUGAGUUCU
rnacentral:rRNA from 1 species